rnacentral:rRNA from 1 species
CUUGGCGGUCAUAGCACUUUGGACCCACCCCCCCUUCCCAUCCCGAACAGGGUCGUGAAACGAAGUCGCGCCGAUGAUAGUGUGUUUUCACAUGCGAAAGUAGGUCACUGCCAGGC